rnacentral:rRNA from 1 species
UACGGAGGGUGCAAGCGUUAUCCGGAUUCACUGGGCUUAAAGGGUGCGUAGGAGGGCAGGUAAGUCAGUGGUGAAAUCCCCGAGCUUAACUUGGGAACUGCCGUUGAUACUAUCUGUCUUGAAUGUUGUGGAGGUGAGCGGAAUAUGUCAUGUAGCGGUGAAAUGCUUAGAUAUGACAUAGAACACCAAUUGCGAAGGCAGCUCGCUACACAAUUAUUGACUCUGAGGCACGAAAGCGUGGGGAGCAAACAGG